UACGAGGGGGCAAGCGUUGUUCGGAAUUACUGGGCGUAAAGCGCACGUAGGCGGCUUACUAAGUCAGGGGUGAAAUCCUGGAGCCUCAACUCCAGAACUGCCUUUGAUACUGGUGAGCUGAGUCCGGAAGAGGUGAGUGGAACUGCGAGUGUAGAGGUGAAAUUCGUAGAUAUUCGCCAAGAACACCAGUGGCGAGGCGGCUCACUGGUCCGGUACUGACGCUGAGGUGCGAAAGCGUGGGGAGCAAACAGG
rnacentral:rRNA from 1 species